GUGGGGAAUUUUGGACAAUGGGCGCAAGCCUGAUCCAGCAAUGCCGCGUGCAGGAAGAAGGCCUUCGGGUUGUAAACUGCUUUUGUACGGAACGAAACGGUCCGGGUUAAUACCCUGGGCUAAUGACGGUACCGUAAGAAUAAGCACCGGCUAACUACGUGCCAGCAGCCGCGGUAAUACGUAGGGUGCAAGCGUUAAUCGGAAUUACUGGGCGUAAAGCGUGCGCAGGCGGUUUUGUAAGUUGGAGGUGAAAUCCCCGGGCUCAACCUGGGAAUUGCGCUUGUGACUGCAAGGCUGGAGUGCGGCAGAGGGGGAUGGAAUUCCGCGUGUAGCAGUGAAAUGCGUAGAUAUGCGGAGGAACACCGAUGGCGAAGGCAAUCCCCUGGGCCUGCACUGACGCUCAUGCACGAAAGCGUGGGGAGCAAACAGGAUUAGAUACCCGUGUAGUCC
rnacentral:rRNA from 1 species